rnacentral:snRNA from 1 species
AUCGCUUCUCGGCCUUUUGGCUAAGAUCAAAGUGUAGUAUCUGUUCUUAAUACGCUUGGGUUUUUGCUAGAAAUUUUGAGUACUAGUU